rnacentral:rRNA from 1 species
GAUGAACGCUAGCGGCAUGCCUUACACAUGCAAGUCGAACGGCAGCACGGGAGCAAUCCUGGUGGCGAGUGGCGAACGGGUGAGUAAUAUAUCGGAACGUGCCCGGUCGUGGGGAUAACGUAGCGAAAGCUACGCUAAUACCGCAUACGAUCUACGGAUGAAAGCGGGGGAUCGCAAGACCUCGCGCGAUUGGAGCGGCCGAUAUCAGAUUAGGUAGUUGGUGAGGUAAAGGCUCACCAAGCCGACGAUCUGUAGCUGGUCUGAGAGGACGACCAGCCACACUGGGACUGAGACACGGCCCAGACUCCUACGGGAGGCAGCAGUGGGGAAUUUUGGACAAUGGGCGCAAGCCUGAUCCAGCAAUGCCGCGUGCAGGAUG